ACGGCAGCGCGGGGCAACCUGGCGGCGAGUGGCGAACGGGUGAGUAAUAUAUCGGAACGUACCCUGGAGUGGGGGAUAACGUAGCGAAAGUUACGCUAAUACCGCAUACGAUCUAAGGAUGAAAGUGGGGGAUCGCAAGACCUCAUGCUCCUGGAGCGGCCGAUAUCUGAUUAGCUAGUUGGUGGGGUAAAGGCCUACCAAGGCAACGAUCAGUAGCUGGUCUGAGAGGACGACCAGCCACACUGGAACUGAGACACGGUCCAGACUCCUACGGGAGGCAGCAGUGGGGAAUUUUGGACAAUGGGCGCAAGCCUGAUCCAGCAAUGCCGCGUGAGUGAAGAAGGCCUUCGGGUUGUAAAGCUCUUUUGUCAGGGAAGAAACGGCGGUUUCUAAUACAGAUCGCUAAUGACGGUACCUGAAGAAUAAGCACCGGCUAACUACGUGCCAGCAGCCGCGGUAAUACGUAGGGUGCAAGCGUUAAUCGGAAUUACUGGGCGUAAAGCGUGCGCAGGCGGUUUUGUAAGUCUGUCGUGAAAUCCCCGGGCUCAACCUGGGAAUUGCGAUGGAGACUGCA
rnacentral:rRNA from 1 species